rnacentral:lncRNA from 1 species
UACUGCCAUGUAAGAAGUGCCUUUCACCUCCCGCCAUGAUUCUGAGGCCUCCCCAGCCAUGUGGAACUCUGGACCCUGGGUACCUGGCUGAAGACUUUGGACUUUAACCUGGAGAUGAUGGAGAGUAUGCAGGAUAAAGUCCAUACCAAAUCCAACGCCUAGCAAAUGGAGAACAAGCCAAAACUAACAAGAUAAAAUGUAGCAGGAAAAAGUGCAAAGAGCUGAAGUGUGGAAUAAGUGGGAGAGGUCUGCCAUGCCCUAUCUGACCUUGCUGCCAUGAUCUUUAAGGCUGUGUGUCCUGGUUGGUGCAGCUACAAGAUGGCAGAAAUGCCUAAGUGAUGGUAUGGAACAGAGGAUCCCUCUUCUCACCAUUGUCUUGCAUGUUUCCUUGUGUGAACCACAAAUAAACUUUUGUUAUGUUAAGCUG